rnacentral:tRNA from 1 species
AAGGGGGGAAAAGGGAAAUCAACCCGGGGCCCCCAGGGUUAGAACCCCGGGGAGCACCAAAAGGGCUCACCCCC